UCCCAGACUCCUACGGGAGGCAGCAGUGGGGGAUAUUGCACAAUGGGGGGAACCCUGAUGCAGCGACGCCGCGUGGGUGAAGGAGUAUUUCGGUAUGUAAAGCCCUAUCGGCAGGGAAGAAGCAAGACGGUACCUGACUAAGAAGCCCCGGCUAACUACGUGCCAGCAGCCGCGGUAAUACGUAGGGGGCGAGCGUUAUCCGGAUUCACUGGGCGUAAAGGGAGCGUAGACGGCCAAGCAAGCCAGGGGUGAAAGCCCGGGGCCCAACCCCGGGACUGCCCUUGGAACUGCUUGGCUGGAGUGCGGGAGGGGCAGGCGGAAUUCCUGGUGUAGCGGUGAAAUGCGUAGAUAUCAGGAGGAACACCGGCGGCGAAGGCGGCCUGCUGGACCGCGACUGACGUUGAGGCUCGAAAGUGUGGGUAUCAAACAGGAUUAGAUACCCCCGUAGUA
rnacentral:rRNA from 1 species